GGAAGGAGAGCGGAGCUCCAUCGAGGGACAGGAUAAGGAAAGUCUCUCAAGAGACUCUGGCCAGAUGACCACCUGCAGAGCCCAUGCUCCCAGCUGAGGGCUGAACAAGCCCUGAUCCUAGGCCAGGAAACCAAUAUGGUGGACUUGAGAAAAGGAGGAGUCUAGAGAGGAGGCUAUGGGCAUUGUCAGACCUUGGGUACACAGGUUCUUUUUCACCGGAGGGCUUAAAGUAAGGAGAUUUCAUCCUUCUCCGUGUUUUAAAAAAUCUCUGCUUAAGCUCUGUGUAGUCAGAAGCCAUCAUGAGAACGUGACGGAAGAACAUGACCGAGGAAGCGGCAGCUGCUGGCAUCUGUGACCGUGACCUAGCAGCUUGUGAAACACAGCACGGACUCGGUGACGCCGGAGGAGGAAAGCGCUCGGACGGAUCCAUUCCUCCAGGUCUGUGACCCACUUCAUACAGCCUGUCUCCAUGAACUUCCAAGAACGAGCUUCUGACAUCACAAGUCCUUCUUCAAGGAUCUGCUGCACCCUUCAUUAGGAAAGGCCAACUUCUUUGAGAAAUCAAGAAAACUGAAAGGUGCAGAAGCCUUUGAAACAGAUAGUGGAGGGCAGUAAAGUGAAAUCCUGUAACAGCGGAGAAACUCUGGGGACAUUAGGAGAAUGGAUGGAUGGGACAGAAAGACCGGAAGAAUGCAUGCAAUCACCUUUCUGCCAGCCAGUUAAUUUUCGUGUCCUUUCCUUUACUAGGUAACCCCCAUAAGAGGUGCAAGGCAAAUCAGGUUUCUUAGCGGAAAUUAUAGACUUGCUUGCCUCUCGGUGUUGUGCAGACCCUAACAGCGUAUUCUAAGGAAGUUUAACAUGAAUACUGCUGGGAUCGUGUGGACUGCAUUCAACAAAACCUCCUGUGUGCUAUGGGGUCACAUGGCUAGGAGUUCAAAGAUGAAAAGCAUUCCAGCUAUUAGGUAGGCACCCCAGUUUAGAAAAUUCUCCAGAAACAUGAAUACAGGCACAGUGUGCAUCUGAUUUUAGACUGCUUGGCUUUGGGGGGAACUUUGGGUCACCUGCUCAUUCUGUGACACUGAUCACAUGCCACCUGCACAUGUGUCCUGUUUAUCCACUCCCCAGACAACACCUAAAAGCAGGAGGUGGGGCAGGCAUCCCAGGGUCUUCCUCGAGGGUCAAAUGGAAAGGUACGUCCCCUGGUUGGGUUGGUUGUCAAUGAAUACUUUUCAGAUGAGAAAACGCCUUAAGUUUCUAACACAGUCUCUGAAAUUCCAUACAGGGUUUAAAGAGCUGCAUACAUAGUGUUUGAAAUCACCCAGUUCUCAGACAUGGGAUUUGGACCACUUUGAAUUGCCGGGCAUUACCAGUGGAGUAAAAUGCCAAACUUCUUCCCUGUGCACACACGGAUGGAUAAGAACAGCAUCUUCUGCUGCUUGAGUCUGAAUUGCGCUGUCGAGUGAAGUCAAGAUGUGUUCUUCACAGAAGCAGGAUGUUUUUGUCUUUUCUGAGUUCUCCGCCCACGAAUGAACAACUCACAUCUUAUUGUAGAGAAGAUGUUUGAUCCCCCUUUCCUCCACCAUAUGGAAGGUGUCGGCAUAUCAGGUGUAUAAUUGGCCAUCUGGACUUUGCAGGGUGCCAUUUGUCCUUUGACCUUAUAUAAAAUACAAAUGUUUACAGAGUCCUUUUCAAGACAGGGAACUAUCAUUCCUUUCGAUGAUUAUAUCUGGACUUUGGAUUAUUUUUAGAAAAUUUUUCCAGGAUAGGAAUGUAUCAGAUUUUGUCUUUUUCUGAAGAAGGAUGACAAGUUAUUUGAAUAUCAUUUAUUUUAAAAACUGUCUUUUCCCAAGGGGUGAUAUAUGUAUA